UACAGAGACUGCAAGCGUUAUCCGGAUUCACUGGGUUUAAAGGGUGCGUAGGUGGGUCUGUAAGUCCGUGGUGAAAUCUCCAAGCUUAACUUGGAAACUGCCAUGGAUACUAUAGGUCUUGAAUACCGUGGAGUGAGCGGAAUAUGUCAUGUAGCGGUGAAAUGCUUAGAUAUGACAUAGAACACCAAUUGCGAAGGCAGCUCACUACACGAAUAUUGACACUGAGGCACGAAAGCGUGGGGAUCAAACAGG
rnacentral:rRNA from 1 species